AAAUUGAAGAGUUUGAUCAUGGCUCAGAUUGAACGCUGGCGGCAGGCCUAACACAUGCAAGUCGAACGGUAACAGGAAACAGCUUGCUGUUUCGCUGACGAGUGGCGGACGGGUGAGUAAUGUCUGGGAAACUGCCUGAUGGAGGGGGAUAACUACUGGAAACGGUAGCUAAUACCGCAUAACGUCGCAAGACCAAAGAGGGGGACCCUCGGGCCUCUUGCCAUCGGAUGUGCCCAGAUGGGAUUAGCUUGUUGGUGGGGUAACGGCUCACCAAGGCGACGAUCCCUAGCUGGUCUGAGAGGAUGACCAGCCACACUGGAACUGAGACACGGUCCAGACUCCUACGGGAGGCAGCAGUGGGGAAUAUUGCACAAUGGGCGCAAGCCUGAUGCAGCCAUGCCGCGUGUAUGAAGAAGGCCUUCGGGUUGUAAAGUACUUUCAGCGGGGAGGAAGGGAGUAAAGUUAAUACCUUUGCUCAUUGACGUUACCCGCAGAAGAAGCACCGGCUAACUCCGUGCCAGCAGCCGCGGUAAUACGGAGGGUGCAAGCGUUAAUCGGAAUUACUGGGCGUAAAGCGCACGCAGGCGGUUUGUUAAGUCAGAUGUGAAAUCCCCGGGCUCAACCUGGGAACUGCAUCUGAUACUGGCAAGCUUGAGUCUCGUAGAGGGGGGUAGAAUUCCGGUGUAGCGGUGAAAUGCGUAGAGAUCUGGAGGAAUACCGGUGGCGAAGGCGGCCCCUGGACGAAGACUGACGCUCAGGUGCGAAAGCGUGGGGAGCAAACAGGAUUAGAUACCCUGGUAGUCCACGCCGUAAACGAUGUCGACUUGGAGGUUGUGCCCUUGAGGCGUGGCUUCCGGAGCUAACGCGUUAAGUCGACCGCCUGGGGAGUACGGCCGCAAGGUUAAAACUCAAAUGAAUUGACGGGGGCCCGCACAAGCGGUGGAGCAUGUGGUUUAAUUCGAUGCAACGCGAAGAACCUUACCUGGUCUUGACAUCCACGGAAGUUUUCAGAGAUGAGAAUGUGCCUUCGGGAACCGUGAGACAGGUGCUGCAUGGCUGUCGUCAGCUCGUGUUGUGAAAUGUUGGGUUAAGUCCCGCAACGAGCGCAACCCUUAUCCUUUGUUGCCAGCGGUCCGGCCGGGAACUCAAAGGAGACUGCCAGUGAUAAACUGGAGGAAGGUGGGGAUGACGUCAAGUCAUCAUGGCCCUUACGACCAGGGCUACACACGUGCUACAAUGGCGCAUACAAAGAGAAGCGACCUCGCGAGAGCAAGCGGACCUCAUAAAGUGCGUCGUAGUCCGGAUUGGAGUCUGCAACUCGACUCCAUGAAGUCGGAAUCGCUAGUAAUCGUGGAUCAGAAUGCCACGGUGAAUACGUUCCCGGGCCUUGUACACACCGCCCGUCACACCAUGGGAGUGGGUUGCAAAAGAAGUAGGUAGCUUAACCUUCGGGAGGGCGCUUACCACUUUGUGAUUCAUGACUGGGGUGAAGUCGUAACAAGGUAACCGUAGGGGAACCUGCGGUUGGAUCACCUCCUUA
rnacentral:rRNA from 1 species